rnacentral:sRNA from 1 species
CUUACCGUUAUCAACUCGUUAUGUAAAUCUCCCCCCGUUUCCCUUCCGCAACGUCCCUGCAUCGGCAGCUAUUUCUUUCUAUUUUAUCGCGACAUAUCAUCAACAGCAACAAUGUUCGGCUCUACGGCUACUCCUCCAACAGACUCACCUCCUUCAUAUGAAGCCAAUCCUUCUGUCACCAUCAACGAUGACAGGAAAUAAAAGCAAGAAAUCCAUUCUCCUAUUAGUGAAGAAAGGGGUCUCCUCAGGGGAGAGACCUAGCAUGUCCAACGACAAGAAGAAAAGGUGGCUCAAGAGAAGGAGGGACAAGAUUGUCGAGUUCCAAGGAAGAGAGAUAAGAAACAAACUGAGAGAAGUAGGCUGAAGACGGAGCGCAUGCAACGUCUAAAAAUAAGAAGAGUUACAAACUUCCUCCAACCUUUAGAAGUUUAAAUUAAAGUGCCCACCCACCAUUACGUUUACAAAUACGAUAUCCAUGGCUAUUCUUUCUGUUGAGAGUUGGGAUCCGAGGGGUCCAGCGCGCCUGUAUUGUAUGAAUACAACUUUUUCCCUCC